rnacentral:misc_RNA from 1 species
AAUGUUCUGCCCUGCAAUCAGUAAUCAUGAUAGACAAAUACAAAUGAAUCGUGGAAAAUAAAAAUAAAUAAACAUCAAAGUAACUUGCAAUAUCUUAGCCUUCAAAAUAUAACAGUCAAAGAAAAGACCAGAUGUUAUAAAAGCAGCCUCAUAAUGAAUUCAGCAUAUGAAAAGAGCCAUAAAGUAGAACAAAUCAACCCAAACAAAAGUCUCUCAGCCUAAAAAGUAAAACAUUAUAUGCCUAUAUUGGUGUGUAAGAAACUUGCUGGAUUCAAUUCACUUGGUGAAAAAUCAAACCUACUCAAAACAUAAGGUAGCUCAUUUUACCUUAGAAAAAUAUCGUCUUAAAUUGCAAUUCAGACUCAAUUAAUGAAACAUUUACAAUAUUUUUUUUUGUUAAAUGUCAUAGCCUUCUAAAUGACUGCUGAAUGAAUGAGUAUUUUAGUACUUAUUUUUAA